rnacentral:rRNA from 1 species
AUUGAACGCUGGCGGCGUGCCUAACACAUGCAAGUCGAGCGGUAACAGGUGUAGCAAUACAUGCUGACGAGCGGCGAACGGGUGAGUAAUGCUUCGGAAUCUGCCCAUGUAGUGGGGAAUAACCAGCCGAAAGGUUGGCUAAUACCGCAUACGACCCUUGCCCACAAGGCAAAGGUGAAAGCAGGGGAUCGCAAGACCUUGCGCUAUUGGAUGAGCCGAAGUCGGAUUAGCUAGUUGGUAGGGUAACGGCCUACCAAGGCGACGAUCCGUAGCUGGUCUGAGAGGACGACCAGCCACACUGGGACUGAGACACGGCCCACGACUCCUACGGGAGGCAGCAGUGGGGAAUAUUGGACAAUGGGGCAACCUGAUCCAGCGACGCCGCGUGUGUGAAG